rnacentral:rRNA from 1 species
GUUCUCCAAUCAAGUAGGACUACCCGCUGAACUUAAGCAUAUCAAUAAGCGGAGGAAAAGAAACUAACAAGGAUUCCCCUAGUAACGGCGAGUGAAGUGGGAAAAGCUCAACUUUGUAAUCUGGCUCUUUCAGAGUCCGAGUUGUAGUCUAGAGAAGCGAUAUCCGCGUCGGACCUUAAACAAGGCUGUUGGAAUGCAGCGUCGUAGAGGGUGAGAAUCCCGUACAUGUUAAGGAUACCCGUAUGCAUUGUGAUACGCUUUCUAAGAGUCGAGUUGUUUGGGAAUGCAGCUCAAAUCGGGUGGUAAAUUCCAUCUAAAGCUAAAUAUUGGCGAGAGACCGAUAGCGAACAAGUACCGUGAGGGAAAGAUGAAAAGCACUUUGGAAAGAGAAUGAAAUAGUAUGUGAAAUUGCUGGAAGGGAAACGAUUGAAGUUAGACUUGCGUGGGUGAUAUUCAGCCUUUCUUCGGACUGGUGUAUUUGUUGCCCGUUGCAGGCCAGCAUCAGUUUAUCUUCGUUGUAAAAUGGUAUCGAGAAUGUAGCAAUCCUUCGGGAUUGUGUUAUAGCUCUUUACUGCAUGCAAAGUUGUAGACUGAGGAACGCAGUGCGCCGCAAGGCAAGGUCUUUAGGCCUCGAGCACUUAGGAUGCUGGUUGAAUAGCUUUAACCGACCCGUCUUGAAACACGGG